CAUGUUCUUCGCGGCGAUUUUCACUGAUUGUGGCAGGUUAAAAUGCCAUUAUCAUUAAAAAAAGGAAACACAUUUAAAGCUGAGGUGGUGUAUUUGCAUAUGAGAAUAAUCACUAUUCAGUCUUGUUGAAUGUGAGAGAGUUAGCGAGAGGGAUCUGAAUAUGACGAACCCUAAUUUUUUGAUCUCCCUCGUUAUCGGCGUUCAUCUCUUGCCGCCGUAUACAAUGCGGUUGUUGCUGCCUUCGAAGGAGCGCUCUUCUUUGAUUAGGUUUUCUAGCUUCGAUUUGAGGGUUUGUUGCGCCGCCCUCAUCUCCUCGUCACCACAAGCAACGCCAUCAUUGCUGUCUUCGAUGGAGCUUCUGCUAUCUGGUAUAAUUUGAGAUCGCACAUCGGAGGAAGAGGGAAAGGGGAAUGAGAGUGAGUUGAUCUGAAACCCUAAAGCUUGUCGCCGCCAUGGUCACCAGCAUUCAUCUCAUUUCUCCCGCUUCCAUCAACCUUCUGCACUCGAGUGAAGGCGCCUCCUCUAUCGACGCGUUUCCAAAUCUGGUCACUAUGCCAUAGCUUAUGAGAUUGAGCCAAGCACCUCUUCCAUUAAUGUGUCUCCUCCGCCAGCAGCGCCGGUACGUUCUCACUUCCGCAUUCUCUUUUUCUUCGAUCCACUCAACAUUGCUUGUAGUGUGUUUCUGUUCAUUCUCAAUUGCUUGUUUUCUAGUAGUAUUGUUAUGCUUGCCAUGUGGUUGAUGAAUUUCCUGAGAGAGAUGGAAAAGAGUGGAACUUGUUUUCUGAUAUAGAUAGAUGAUUCUUUGGUGCUUAUUAUUAUAACUACUGCAUGUUCAUCAUUAUGCAUUUUUGAAAUUCAAAACUAGCUUAGCUCCCAAUUUAAAUCCAACAAGGACAUGCCUUCUUUGUUUUCUUUUUUCAUCAAUGUCAUGACUUGAAUGCUCACAUUUUAUGGUGGGAAAAUCAAACUACAUUUACUGCAUUUUAGUUUGCAGUUGACUUGUUUAUAUGCUAAGUUGUCUAAAGAAAGAUAUACUCUGCCUAGUAAAUUGAAUACCUAAUUGUUUAAAGAAUCUUCUUGUUGUUUAUUUUGUUAAUUAUCUUGUAAAAAGGAUUGAAUGAAAAGUACUUGUUUAAAUCCCAUGUAUUGGACGAGGGUGGCCAAGGAGUACUUCAUCUUGCAGCUGCUCUUGGCUAUGAUUGGGCCUUACAACCCACAAUGAUUUCUGGUGUAAAUGUGAACUUUCGCAUUGUAAAUGGAUGGACUGCUCUUCAUUGGGCUGCAUUCUGUGGCAGGUACAGGCUCUUCUAUCUGAUAAAGAAGAAUUGGAGAAAGACUUGAAAACAUUAAAUGAUAAGCUUACUUCAGCCUCUCUGACUAUAAUGCUAAAGGUGAGCUGUUGAAAAAGAAAACAAAAAUCGCUCAGGAAGCAACAGCAGGUCUGAUAUUUUAGGUCUCUCUCAGGAUAAAAUAUUUUGUUAUCAUAAAGAAUGCACCAGAUGGUUCAUUCUUUCUGCUUCAUGCUUGUGCUCACAAUCCUACUGGAGUAGAUCCUUCAGAAGAACAAUGGCAAGAGAUCUCGUCCCUCAUCAAGUGGAAGAUGAAUCCACCAACAUGCCUCUCUUUCAUUGAUUACAUCACAAGAAGACUUAAAAUAUUUUCAAUUCCUCAACACAUGUCAAUCUCUUCUUCUUUCUCUCUUAUUAGAUUCCAGAUUUAUUGGUUAUUGUGAUUCUAGAUCAUUAUCUUCCUAAGAGUCUCUAGCAGAGAUCAAUUUAUAUUUGACAGAGGCACAGAAUACUGGAGAAUCAAAUGGCAUCUUAUUCCCAAAAUCUAAUCUGAGAAAUUCUCCUUGUGGAGUUUGUUUUUCUUUGGGAAAGGGCAUGUACCGUGUGCUUUAUAUUCCUGAAGAUGAAGUUGUUCUCUUGAAUUCUAGGGAGAAGGCUCCUUACAUGAUCUGUGUUGAAGUAUUGAGAUGUGACAUGAUAAGGUUAGGGACUUAAGCUCUCAUCUGAAUACUCUAGCAGAGUCAGAAACAGAGGGUGCCCAAGGAGCUGCUGCGGUUUUUAAUCAGGCCCCGCUUUAUAAACAUAAACACAAAUAUGAAGGCUAUGCUAUAGACUGGAGUCUUCUUGUUCCCAGAGCCAGAAGGCUUGUAUCUGGAAUUGAAUCAAGAGAGUGAGAUUUCAUCGCCAAAAUAGUUAAAAAGUAGGUCUUCUGGAAAAAGCAAUAGAGCAGCAUGAAAUAUGGAGAUUUUAUGUAUUAAGAGUUACAUGUUAUGACAUUUAUAGUUGAAAAAUUAUGUUAUGUUUGAUACUUUGUAUAGGAGUUAUUACUUUUGAUUUCUAAUACUAAAAAAUCGUAUACUAUGUUUAAUACUUUAUUUCUGAGUUAUAUAUAUUUUGUUUAUGGAU